CAGCCGUGCCGUAAGCUCAAAGCGAACUAUUCUUUCGCCUUUUACUAAAGAAUAUCGUGUGCUUGCCGUGAAUAAGCGGGCAUACCCCCUAUUUUUGGAGGGUUUCUCUUUUCUAAGAGGAA